rnacentral:sRNA from 1 species
GGUGAAAUCCUCUACGGCUGCGGAAAC